rnacentral:rRNA from 1 species
AGUUUGAUCCUGGCUCAUGAUAAACGCUGUGCGGCGCACAUAAGACAUGCAAGUCGAACGAACUUAACUCAUUCUUUACGAUUGAGAGCGGUUAGUGGCGGACUGGUGAGUAACACGUAAGCAACCUGCCUAUUAGAGGGGAAUAACAGUGAGAAAUCAUUGCUAAUACCGCAUAUGCUCACAGUACCACAUGGUACAGUGAGGAAAGGAGCAAUCCGCUAAUAGAUGGGCUUGCGUCUGAUUAACUACUUGGUGGGGUAAUGGCCUACCAAGGCGACGAUCAGUAGCCGGACUGAGAGGUUGAACGGCCACAUUGGGACUGAGAUACGGCCCAGACUCCUACGGGAGGCAUCAGUCGGGAAUAUUGCGCAAUGGAGGAAACUCUGACGCAGUGACGCCGCGUAUAGGAAGAAGGUUUUCGGAUUGUAAACUAUUGUCGUUAGGGAACAUACGAGACAGUACCUACGGAGGAAGCCCCGGCUAACUAUGUGCCAGCAGCCGCGGUAAUACAUAGGGGGCAAGCGUUAUCCGGAAUUAUUGGGUGUAAAGGGUGCGUACACGGACAUGCAAGUCGGUUGUGACAUCCCUCGGCUCAACUGAGGAACUGCCAGCAAGACUACAUCCCUUGAGUGUCUGAGGGGAAAGUGGAAUUCNUAGUGUAGCGGUGACACUGCGUAGAUAUUAGGAGGAACACCGGUGGCGAAGGCGACUUUCUGGACGAUAACUGACGUUGAGGCACGAAAGUGUGGGGAGCAAACAGGAUUAGAUACCCUGGUAGUCCACACUGUAAACGAUGGAUACUAGGUGUAGGGUGUAUUAAGCACUCUGUGCCGCCGCAAACGCAUUAAGUAUCCCACCUGGGGAGUACGACCGCAAGGUUGAAACUCAAAGGAAUUGACGGGGGCCCGCACAAGCAGUGGAGUAUGUGGUUUAAUUCGAAGCAACGCGAAGAACCUUACCAGGGCUUGACAUAUACAGGAAUAACUUAGAGAUAGGUUAGCUCUUCGGAGCCUGUAUACAGGUGGCGCAUGGUUGUCGUCAGCUCGUGUCGUGAGAUGUUGGGUUAAGUCCCGCAACGAGCGCAACCCCUAUCGUUAGUUGCUAGCAGGUAAUGCUGAGAACUCUAGCGAGACUGCCGGUGAUAAAUCGGAGGAAGGUGGGGAUGACGUCAAAUCAUCAUGCCCUUUAUGUCCUGGGCUACACACGUACUACAAUGGCCGUAACAGAGGGAAGCAAUAUAGUGAUAUGGAGCAAAACCCUAAAAGCGGUCUCAGUUCGGAUUGAAGGCUGAAAUUCGCCUUCAUGAAGCUGGAAUUGCUAGUAAUGGCAGGUCAGCAUACUGCCGUGAAUACGUUCCCGGGCCUUGUACACACCGCCCGUC